rnacentral:rRNA from 1 species
UACGUAGGGGGCUAGCGUUGUCCGGAAUCAUUGGGCGUAAAGCGCGCGUAGGCGGCCCGGUAAGUCCGCUGUAAAAGUCAAAGGCUCAACCUUUGAAUGUCAGUGGAUACUGCCAGGCUAGAGUCCGGAAGAGGCGAGUGGAACUCCUGGUGUAGCGGUGGAAUGCGCAGAUAUCAGGAAGAACACCGACGGCGAAGGCAGCUCGCUGGGACGGUACUGACGCUGAGGCGCGAAAGCGUGGGGAGCGAACGGG